rnacentral:rRNA from 1 species
GUGAGGAAUUUUCCGCAAUGGGCGAAAGCCUGACGGAGCAAUGCCGCGUGAAGGAUGAAGGCCUAUGGGUUGUAAACUUCUUUUCUCAGAAAAGAAUUAUGACGGUAUCUGAGGAAUAAGCAUCGGCUAACUCUGUGCCAGCAGCCGCGGUAAGACAGAGGAUGCAAGCGUGAUCCGGAAUGAUUGGGCGUAAAGCGUCUGUAGGUUGUUUAAAAAGUAUUCUGUCAAAGAUUAGGGCUUAACCCUAGAUAGGCAGAAUAAACUUUUAAGCUAGAGUUUGGUAGAGGCAGAGGGAAUUCCCGGUGGAGCGGUGAAAUGCGUAGAUAUCGGGAGGAACACCAAAGGCGAAGGCACUCUGCUGGGCCAAUACUAACACUGAGAGACGAAAGCGAGGGGAGCAAAUGGGAUUAGAUACCCUAGUAGUCC